GUAAGCUGUCGCUUCGGGAUGGGCUCGCGGCCUAUCAGCUUGUUGGUGGGGUAAUGGCUCACCAAGGCGAUGACGGGUAGCUGGUCUGAGAGGAUGAUCAGUCACACUGGAACUGAGACACGGUCCAGGCACCUACGGGUGGCAGCAGUCGAGAAUCAUUCGCAAUGGGCGAAAACCUGACGGUGCGACGCCGCGUGGAGGAUGAAGGCCCAAGGGUCGUAAACUCCUGUCAUCAGGGAGUAAGGGCUCAUAUAGUAACUGCUAUGGGUCUUGAUAGUACCUGAAGAGGAAGGGACGGCAAACUUCGUGCCAGCAGCCGCGGUAAUACGAAGGUCCCAAGCGUUGUUCGGAUUUACUGGAGCGUAAAGAGUCUGUAGGCGGUGGGGUAAGUCAGAUGUGAAAUCCCGGGGCUCAACCCCGGAACUGCAUCCGAUACUGCCUUACUUGAGGGUCGGAGGGGAGUCUGGAAUUCUCGGUGUAGCAGUGAAAUGCGUAGAUAUCGAGANGAACACUAGUGGCGAAGGCGAGACUCUGGACGACAACUGACGCUGAGAGACGAAGGCCAGGGGAGCGAAAAGGAUUAGAUACCCUUGUAGUCCUGGCAGUAAACGGUGCACGCUUGGUGUGGGAGGGUUCGACC
rnacentral:rRNA from 1 species